AACGCGAAGAACCUUACCUGGACUCGAAAUGCCGGCGACCGUCUCAGAGAUGAGGCUUUCCCGCAAGGGACGGCGGUAUAGGUGCUGCAUGGCUGUCGUCAGCUCGUGUCGUGAGAUGUUGGGUUAAGUCCCGCAACGAGCGCAACCCUUAUCCCUAGUUGCCAUCGGGUCAAGCCGGGCACUCUAGUGAAACUGCCUGGGAUAACCAGGAGGAAGGUGGGGAUGACGUCAAGUCCUCAUGGCCUUUAUGUCCAGGGCUACACACGUGCUACAAUGGUCGGUACAAACCGUCGCAAACCCGUGAGGGGGAGCUAAUCGGAAAAAGCCGGCCUCAGUUCGGAUUGGAGUCUGCAACUCGACUCCAUGAAGCUGGAAUCGCUAGUAAUCGCGGAUCAGAACGCCGCGGUGAAUACGUUCCCGGGCCUUGUACACACCGGUACUA
rnacentral:rRNA from 1 species